AGUGAACGCUGGCGGUAGGCCUAACACAUGCAAGUCGAACGGCAGCACAGUAAGAGCUUGCUCUUACGGGUGGCGAGUGGCGGACGGGUGAGGAAUACAUCGGAAUCUACUUUUUCGUGGGGGAUAACGUAGGGAAACUUACGCUAAUACCGCAUACGACCUACGGGUGAAAGCAGGGGAUCUUCGGACCUUGCGCGUUUGAAUGAGCCGAUGUGGGUUUAGCUGUUUGGGGGGGGAAAGGCCCACCAAGGCGACGAUCCGUAGUUGGGGUGAGAGGAUGAUCAGCCAAAAUGGAACUGAGGAACGGUCCAGAAUCCUACGGGAGGCAGCAGUGGGGAAUAUUGGGCAAUGGGCGCAAGCCUGAUCCAGCCAUACCGCGUGGGUGAAGAAGGCCUUCGGGUUGUAAAGCCCUUUUGUUGGGAAAGAAAAGCAGCAGGUUAAUACCCCGCUGUUCUGACGGUACCCAAAGAAUAAGCACCGGCUAACUUCGUG
rnacentral:rRNA from 1 species